rnacentral:rRNA from 1 species
AACGUUGGCUGUGUGCNUAAGGUAUGCAAGUCGAACGAUCCCUUUGAACUACUUGAGACUUCGGUUGAUUGUUUUUCUUUUUGGGAUAGUGGCAAACGGGUGAGUAACACGUGGAUAACCUACCUCGAAGUCAUGAACAGCUCAUCGAAAGAUGGGAUAAUACAUGAUGGUCUUAUAUUUUCUUUAUGAUUUUAUAAGUAAAGCUUUUGCGCUUUGAGAGGGGUCCGCGUCCUAUCAGCUUGUUGGUGAGGUAAUGGCUCACCAAGGCUAAGACGGGUAGCUGGCGUGAGAGCGCGGUCAGCCACCAUGGAACUGAGACACGGUCCAUACUCCUACGGGAGGCAGCAAUUAGGAAUCUUGCGCAAUGGGGGCAACCCUGACGCAGCGACACAGCGUGGAGGACGAAGGUCUUAGGAUUGUAAACUCCUUUUAUAUGGGAAGAAUAGAUGACGGUACCAUAUGAAUAAGCACCUGCUAACUACGUGCCAGAAGCAUCGGUGAUGCGUAGGGUGCAAACGUUAUCCGGAUUUAUUGGGCGUAUAGAGAUGCGUAGGCGUUUUUGUAAGUCUUUAGUUAAAUAUCACGGCUCAACCGUGGACAAGCUUUGGAUACUGCAAGAAUUGAGACAGGAAGAGGCGAACAGAAUUCCCAGUGGAGCGGUGAAAUGCGUUGAUAUUGGGAGGAAUAUCAGUGGCGAAGGCGGUUCGCUGGUCCUUGUCUGACGCUAAGGCUCGAAAGCGUGGGUAGCAAAACGGAUUAGAUACCCGUGUAGUCCACGCCGUAAACUAUGGAUGCUAGGUGUUCGGUACAACUAUUUUUUCCUUCGGGAAAUGAUGGAAGUAUUGAGUACCGCAGUUAACACGUUAAGCAUCCCGCC